rnacentral:rRNA from 1 species
AUGUUUAAAACUGUUCUCUUUCAAAAAGUUGCGGUGGAGCUGCCGUCGCCGCUCCCGUCCGGUCAGGCCGCCAGGGGCUCCGGCGCGAAGAGGUCGUCGAGGUCGGCCAGCUCCACGAAGUCCGCCGAGGGGUCCCACCUGCUGCUGCACGUCGCGGGGAGGCAGAACUGCAUCAAGUUGUUCAGGGAGGUCUCCUCGUCGACGAAUCCCAGGCCGAACGCUGCCGUCACCUCCUCGUCCGCGUUCACCAAGGACCAGCUGGUGGUCGCCGACUGGGAGGCCGCCGUGGUGGAGGGCGACGGGGGGGAGGCCGCCGUGGUGAUGGGCGACGGGGCAGAGGUCGCCGUGGUGGAGGGCGACGGGGGAGAGGCCGCCCUGCCGAAGGGCGACGGAGGAGGGGCCGCCAUGGUGGAGGGCGACGGGGGAGAGGCCGCCCUGCCGAAGGGCGACGGAGGAGGGGCCGCCGUGGUGGAGGGCGACGGGGGAGAGGCCGCGGAUGUCGACGGCGACGGGGCGGACGCCGUCACGGUGGAGAUGGGCGGCGAGGGGGAGGGCGCGGUGUACUUAGUGACUGCGCUCGGGCCGCGGAGGCGGAGCACGGCGGAGUCAUAG